AACCAGGGCUUUGCCCUGGGGCUAAGCCGCGAACGGGUGAGUAACACGUGGGUAACCUGCCCCGAAGACCGGGACAACCCGAGGAAACUCGGGCUAAUACCGGAUGUGCUCGCCGCGCUCAAGCGCGGUGAGUAAAGGAAGCUUCGGCCUCCGCUUUGGGAGGGGCCCGUGGCCCAUUAGCUUGUUGGUGAGGUAACGGCUCACCAAGGCUGCGAUGGGUAGCUGGUCUAAGAGGACGGUCAGCCACACUGGGACUGAGACACGGCCCAGACUCCUACGGGAGGCAGCAGUAGGGAAUCUUGCGCAAUGCGCGAAAGCGUGACGCAGCAACGCCGCGUGGGGGAAGAAGGCCUUCGGGUUGUAAACCCCUUUCAGGAGGGACGAAGGUGCGGCGGCGAACAGCCGUCCGUACUGACGGUACCUCCAGAAGAAGCCCCGGCUAACUACGUGCCAGCAGCCGCGGUAAUACGUAGGGGGCUAGCGUUGUCCGGAAUCAUUGGGCGUAAAGCGCGCGUAGGCGGCCCGGUAAGUCCGCUGUAAAAGUCUAGGGCUCAACCCUGGAAAGCCGGUGGAUACUGUCGGGCUCGAGUCCGGAAGAGGCGAGUGGAAUUCCUGGUGUAGCGGUGGAAUGCGCAGAUAUCAGGAGGAACACCAAUAGCGAAGGCAGCUCGCUGGGACGGUACUGACGCUGAGGCGCGAAAGCGUGGGGAGCGAACAGGAUUAGAUACCCUGGUAGUCCACGCCGUAAACGAUGGGCACUAGGUGUGGGGAGGUGUCGACUCCUCCCGUGCCGGCGCUAACGCAUUAAGUG
rnacentral:rRNA from 1 species